rnacentral:rRNA from 1 species
GAUGAACGCUAGCGGCGGGCUUAAUACAUGCAAGUCGAGGGGUAGCAUGAUUGUAGCAAUACAAUUGAUGGCGACCGGCAAACGGGUGCGGAACACGUACACAACCUUCCAACAAGUGGGGGAUAGCCCAGAGAAAUUUGGAUUAAUACCCCGUAACAUAGCGAUGUGGCAUCACAUUGCUAUUAUAGAUUUUUCGCUUGUUGAUGGGUGUGCGGCUGAUUAGAUAGUUGGCGGGGUAACGGCCCACCAAGUCUACGAUCAGUAGCUGAUGUGAGAGCAUGAUCAGCCACACGGGCACUGAGACACGGGCCCGACUCCUACGGGAGGCAGCAGUAAGGAAUAUUGGACAAUGGACGCAAGUCUGAUCCAGCCAUGCCGCGUGAAGGAUUAAGGUCCUCUGGAUUGUAAACUUCUUUUAUAAGGGACGAAAAAAGGCUUUUCUAAGUCGUCUGACGGUACCUUAUGAAUAAGCACCGGCUAACUCCGUGCCAGCAGCCGCGGUAAUAC